AUACGGUAUGCGAUUCUCAUGGUGGACAGUGCGAGUGUUUGAGUAAUAUCAUAUCCAGAACAUGUGACUAUUGCGCUGUCUAUCACUAUGGUUACGAGUCUGGGCUAGGAUGUACUAGCUGUGAUUGUCAUCCUGAAGGCUCUCUGUCAUUGUCAUGCAACCAUACAACAGGCAUUUGUGAUUGUCAAGUGUUUGUAAAUGGUUCUAAAUGUGACAUUUGUUAUACCGAGUAUUAUGGACUUGAUUCAGGUUCUGGCUGCACUCCCUGUGUAUGUGAAUCUGAAUAUUCCCUUAAUAACAGAUGUAGCAAUGAUGGACAGUGUGAUUGUAAAUCUGGCAUUGGAGGUGUGUCCUGCGAUGUAUGUCAAGCAGGGUUUUAUAAUUUAACGACUGAUGGGUGCACGGCAUGCGAGUGCAACGUGUAUGGUACGACUGCUAGUGAAUGCAAUUCCAAUGAUGGCACGUGUACGUGUACAAUUGCGACACAAGGGGAUAA